GCGGGUUAAAAAUGGAUGACACUUUUGGAAAGUGUAUCACAUGCUCGAAAAAUUCACCGUUGUUGAUGUGCGGGAUAAGCAUUAUCGGGUGACGGCUGGUAUACUGUAUAAUUGUCAGUAGAUAAAGAUACCAGACAGUUUCCGGUUAAUAGUGCUGAAAAAGUAAUUUUUGAUUUUUUUAAUCGGAAACUCGAAUAUUUAUCUGCUCACCGAGAAACAUGCUGUCGCACGUGACCUUUGUCAUGGCGGUGCUGCUUAUGAUCGGCUUUCUGAUCAGUGAACUGCGCGCGGACGGCUACGGUUACGGUUACAUGCCAAUGGGCGGUUAUAUGCCAAUGGGCGGCUACAUGCCAAUGGGCGGCAUGGGAAUGGGCUAUCCCAUGGGAGGCUUUCGUGGUGGGGACUGGGAUUGAACACCCUCAAGCCAUCGGCACCCACAUCCAAUACCGCAAUCCAUACAGAGCAUAAUGGAGAAUAAUAUGUAUUGAAACAGUGCGUGACCUUUGACGCUAGUGAUUCCGCAGCUUGCCAUUGAUAGGCUUUUUUAUAACUCUGACAUAUAAAUGAACCUGCGAAGAUGUUGAAUAUUCGUCAGAAGCUUGUAUUGUCAGUACAGUUGUUAUGAUAUCGAAUAAAUUCAAACGGAAAUAAAGCAGGCUCAUUAA